ACGGUAACGAGGAAAGGGCAGCGCUCGGCCCGGUGAGACGUUGGGAUAUUCCACCCCUCUGCCACCAUCUAGCGGUCGUGAGGGUUCGCCCCCAACGCCACCUAGGAACUACCUACCCCAUCGCACGUCGCGCUGACUGCUGUAAGUCUGCCACUGCUGCCUGUGUGCCUAUUAAUCUCUUAAGCUGUCGAUCCAUAGAGACGGAGCAUACACUGUAUCCGGUAGACUUGUGGGGAAGAACCUGAGGAGAAACCGAGCAAAACCUGUACUUACGGUACACUGAGUCCAGUCGAAAGGUGAGAGCCAUUUCAAAGCAAAUUAACUGUGCUUCUGUGUCCAAGUCGAUACCUGUGGAGAGAAGGAAAGGAGUAGUGAGUAACCUGACGAAAAUUGUGUAACUACAAGGGAGAGCCUCCCCGAGGAAGAUUCAGGGAACGCGACCAAUAUAAUAACCCCCCACACUCAUACUGGUUCUGAUUCUGCCUCCAGGAGGAAGAAGGAGCGCGCCACGGAUUAUUAAGGCCAGGCCGGAGCCUGAGUCCCACGUCCCGGAUCCCCGUUGGCCCCUUGCUUCCCGUCAUCCCCCGGCUGAGGCCCACCUGGAGGGCAGAGCUAGAUUUAAUUUUAAUCCCCCUUUCCCCAUUCCCCAAGACAUUUUAAAUAUUUAAAUUCAAUAAAGAUUGUUUUAUAGUUACCUGUUCCCGUGUUGUUUGGUCAUUGGGUUGCUUUGGGGACCUCCUCGGGGUGGAAGUUGAGAAGGGGCGUGGCUUUAGCCUAGAACAGCUAGCCCCUGGCCGUGACACUCGCUUGCACAGAGACCAAAGCGGUGAUUGGGCCAGCUUAAUGUCAAUCAAAAAUAACCAAUGGGCUGCUGCUGAGUGGGCCGGUCUAUCUAGGAAAAAAAGGACGAUGACUGGGCUGGGCAGUCAUUGGGCCAGCUUAAUGUCAUUAAAAAAAUAACCAAUGGGCUGCUGCUUAAAUGUCAGUGGGCCGGUCUGUCUAGAAAAAAAGACGCUAACUGGGCUGCUCAGCAGACAAACCGUGUGUCUCAAUCAGCUCCCUUGUUCAGUAGUCAGGGCACUGAUCAGGGAGUCAGCCAUUUUAAGGGCUGUCUCAAUCGCAAAAUCCGUUCAGUGCACUGGAACGUUCGUUCCCUAAAAAUUCCUACAAUGCAACGCAAAAACCAGUGAGCAUCGAUGUUCCCUAUGUUCCCUAACCGGAAAUCACGUGACCUUUUCUGAAGCUCGCCAACCGAACAUCACGUGAUCCAACUCAAUAAACUUUAUGAAAUGUUACAGAACUUUUAUAAAGACAAAUGUUUGUUUUAGUUGUAAAUAUAAACACACAUUGCUAACAGUAAGGGACCACAAUCUACUCAAUAUUUAAAAUAAUAAUAUUUAUUUAAAAUUGUAAAUAUAUUUAUUACAUGAAAAAUUUAAUUAUAUGCCUCCAAUUUUAUGCACAGAUAUGUAAGAGAAUAAUGACAGCAUUUUUCACAACGUACUGUUUUUAAAAUUAAGUCAAGAGAGAUGUUGGUUUUGCCGGUUGUUAAAUGAGAAACAGCUGUGAGUGAUUACAACGCGCUUAAGCUGCCACGUGACAGAAAAAUAAGUGAACAUUGUCCCAAUGUGAAGUGAGCUAGGGUCCUUACCAGUGCCCUAACCUGUGUACACGAUAUCCUGAUUCACGACCUCGGGAGCUAGGGAACGAAUUGAGACACACGGAAAGAUAGUAUGAGAUGUAGCGGCCCAAAAAGUACGUCGGCCCACCGGGAAACUGCCCGGUGUGCCAGAUGGCCAGUCCGCCCCUGUAACUGAUGGCAAGGGCUAGGGAUAGGAAUGAACUAUGAAUCAAGUAGUACCUAGUUUAUAGACGGUUUUAUUGGACGCACAUGCUUUGUUGCAAUUACACGUUUGGUCAGAACUUUAGUUCCGGUCUCUGUUUGUUUAAUGGUCUGACUAGUGUCUUAACUAAACUCUUGUUACACUUUAGCUAUGUUUGUACUUGAUUCAUUGCGGAGUUUACCGGAAGUUAUGUGUGUUCAACGAUUGCAGUUUGUUUAUGUUGUUACUGCUGAAACCGUCUGUAAACCAUGUAAACUGCCCUCUGUUUCUGAUUCAAAGUGAUAGAGUUAGUGUGGAGUAGACGCCAUCUUCACUACUGAUAUGACAUCUGAUUAAUUAUUUUCAAACAAAAUUGAGGACUGACAGUUGCAAGUUAAGAAAUACUCAUGAAUGAAUAUUUCUGUGUAUUAAUAAUACAGUAUUUAAUCACAUACUUAACACUUGUUGAAAGCUUUAACAAAUAUUUUUUGCCAGAUUAGGUCUUUAAAUAGUAGAUGGACUGCCAUAUAUCUACUAAUGUAGCAACAUUAUUUAUUGGAAAUGUGUUAAUUAAGUUUGUUUCAUUUCAGGUCCAAAAACUUUUUGCCUUGGGCUAUAUGCCCAUAUUAUUUAUCAGCCAGAGGCACAAGGGCACAGGCAAGUUGAUGGCAGAUGUAAUCACGCAUCUGCCACCAACGCAAAACAACACAUGCUUUUUAACAAGCAUGAAGAAGCCAUAUGACUUCCUAAUCAAACUGAAUAAGAUAAGUUUUAUUUGUAGUUCAUUAGUGUUUGUUGUUGAUUUAUUUGACAAUGGGUACUGAAUUUAUAUUUUUGCUAACUUCACAACAGAUGUGCCUCAGCCCCAGCAAGACCAGCCUCUCCAGCAAGACCAGCCCCUCCAGCAAGACCAGCCCCUCCAGCAAGACCAGUCCCAGGAAGACCAGCCCCUCCACAUAGACCAGCCCCAGCAAGACCAGCUCAUACACCUAGACCAGCCUCAGCAAGACCAGCCCCUCCAUAUUGACCAGCCCUAGCAAUACCAUCCCCUCCACAUUGACCAGCCCCAGCAAUACCAGCCCCUCCACAUAGACCAGCCCCAGCAAGACCCUCCCCUCCACCUAGUCCAGCCCCAGAAAGACCAGCCCCUGCCCCUAGACCAGCUAAUCCCACAAGACCAGCCUACCCCAGCAGACCAACAAAUUAUUACAAUUGAACUAUUUACGGUCGACUCUCAGGCUCAGCAGCAUGUGGAGCCUCUACCACCCAGGAAAGGACAAACCCCACUAUCCACCCCGGGGCUACCAUCCACCCUAGGGACAAGACAGACGAGCCCCACCAUCCAUCCAACCUCAACUAAAGAAAAGACAAACCCCACUAUCCACCCCGGGCCUACCACCCACCCUAGGCCAAGGCAGACGAGCCCCACCAUCCAUCCAACCUCAACUAAAGAAAAGACAAACCACAGGUACAGGAGCCACACAAGCCCCACCCUCUACCCUGGCCAAAAAGAAGAAAACAAAAAG